UGAAAGCCGGGUAUGCGAAGAAAGCUAUAUGCGCGAUGCUGUGGGAAGGGUGCAUGAUCUUGGUUGUGCACACAGCGCUCCAGCGUUGCCAGCGGGAGCCACCCAGCCAAAAGCACCGGCGCUACACGUCCUUGUACUCCCUACUUUCACCGCACUAACCGCACCCCUCUGCUUGCCCUGCUCCAUAGGUUAUCCUGAUGGGCCUGGUGGAGGGCUACCGUGUCAACGGCGGCCCCGCCGGCGAGGGCCUGGACCCCCUGUACCCCGGCGAGUCGUUCGACCCCCUGGGCCUGGCUGACGACCCCGACACCUUCGCUGAGCUGAAGGUGAAGGAGAUCAAGAACGGCCGCCUGGCCAUGUUCUCCAUGUUCGGCUUCUUCGUCCAGGCCAUCGUGACCGGCAAGGGCCCCAUCCAGAACCUGGACGACCACCUGUCCAACCCCACCGUGAACAACGCGUUCGCCUUCGCCACCAAGUUCACCCCCUCCGCGUAAAUUCUGUUCUCAUGACUUCAAUCAGUCAGUGAGCGGCAUUUGUUGCGUCUUUUUGAAAGCGUAAGAGCGGACGAAGUGUAUGAGGAGCAAGCGAGAUCGCGUCGCGUCGUGAUGGAGUUGAUGGUGUGAUGCAGGCGGAUGGAGGCGGAGAAUGAUGUGUGCCGUGUGUCGUUUACCUAGAGAAGACAAUUUUUAAACCGCAGCGUUUGUGGUUUACGCGGUCCCGUGGUGCGCGCAAAUGCGUAUGCCCCCCGUGUAAU
rnacentral:lncRNA from 1 species